CUAAUGUGUCAGACCCAAUGUAUUAAAUUUAAGAUUUAAGUAUGAAAACCUAUUCCUUUAGUA
rnacentral:tRNA from 1 species